AACCCUACCUAUUUAACAUCUCUUUCUCCUCUCUGAUUAUAUACGCACACAUACAGACAAGAUACAAAUGGAGUUCUUUGAAAACCAUAUCAACAUCACCUAAAAAGCUGGUUUAGAACAUGCUUGUUCUCUCCUCCUCCCUCAACCUCACGCAACACCCCCCCCCCCUUCUCAGAUCUUUAUGAUUUCCUUCACACACAACUCAACAUAGCCUACACCCCUCAACUCACUGAAGAACCGGUGAUUACCGACGACAAGUCCAGAAGAGAGAGAGACUUCAAGAGAGAGAGACGGCGAAGAGUUUCGGUGCCGCCGCCGCUGCGGUGGUGGUGGAUCUUCACGACGGCGGCCGUAGCCACCGUAAGAUACGGCGGUGAUGGCGGUGAGACCCGACGGCUAUUGGAGCCACGUCGGAAGCUGUACGGCGGUGGUGGUGCUCGGUCCGACAGAUUUCUUGUCACGGAUCAGGCUCGGGUUCAGCAGGUAUCAUGUUCAAGCGGAUCGGGUCAUGGUUCUAUUCAACAGAUUCAAGUUGGGUCCUGGUCGACUUAGUUCGGUGUCGGGUCAGACACACGACUCCGGCUCGGCUCGAUCAUGGUUCGGGUUCACUCCGGUCAACUUCGGGAUCGGUCAACCGGUCAAAGCAAGUCAAGGCUGGUCAAACUUAGUCAACGGUUCGGUCUCGGGUUCGGUCAAAGGCGGUCAACAGCAGAUCCGUUCGGUUUGGAGUUCAAGGAACGGGUCGACUCGGUCGAACCGAGUCAACUCGGUCAAACCCGAGUCAACUCGGGUCCACACAGUCAAACCGGUCAGCAGCAGUCAACGGAAUUGUCCGGGUUCAGAUUUUGGCUCGGGUCUUAGUUCGGUUCAAUGAGUUACGAUUCGAGUCAGAACAGGUCAGAAAGUCAACAAAAGUCAACUGGUCAAACCCCAGUCAACGGCAGUCAAAUGAUCGGCCACGAGACUCGGUAAAAGUUAAACAUAGAAUACCAUAUAUGCACGCUAGCUAACACACGUUCUUGGAACGACACUAUGGAAUGCACUUUAAGCUAGCUUUGCACAUGGAAAUCCAGGUUGCAUUUUCAAAAAUAUGGAACGGUUGGAAUAGGAGAACCCAUGGUGAUUUGAGUACUUAGCGGGCAUUCACUGUUUAGAAGUCUUAGCUUAUUUGCUUCCGCUGUGCAAUGAAGAUACCGGUCCAGUCACGCCAGCUCUGAUUUUUCUGGGUGUGACAGAUUGGUAUCAGAGCCAUAGGUUUCAGCGAAUUAGGUUUCUGUAGAGAUACCUAGGCUUUAACCUCACUUUCCUCUAGGGACGUAGAUUUUUAAGACUUAAAACACAUACAGAACGCCUAGUACUCGAAUAUGGGUUCCAACCAUUUCCAAAACAAUGAGUCAACAGUUUUGGUUUUUAAACAUGCACAAGAGUUAUGUUUGAUACACGAUACACGGAACGAUUACAUAGUGUAAGCAAAACCUUGAGUGUUUUGAUAACAUGCUUCUAGGACCUUUAGAGAAUUUAUGUCAAAAUCCAUAAAAGGUCAAUACGUAGGAACUGCGACUAUUAACUCGGGCAAGCGCCAUUACCUAUGUUGUCUAUGCUAUUUUAGUUACCCAAGCAGGUAACCUACGUGGAACGAAACGCUAUUGCACAACUAUAUGUGAAGCAUAAACUAUACGUCAGCGGACGUCGGAGUACAUCACACACGACUUUCGAGGUAAUGCCUUUGGAGAACACACUUGGGCACGACAACAAUGAUGCUAAUUCUGUCAGCAAGAGAAUUACUGCUCGAAAUGCGGCAAUUUGCCACGUAAUCCUGCAAGCAACACGAAUCACGCCGAGGUACGCUUAAACAAGAUUUCAUAACGAUCGAUACUUAGUCUAAUGAGACUCACAACUACUAGCGCCGCAAAAGAAGUCACAUGCCUCCGCAUUCCCCCUACUUCAUUCAUGGCGAUUAUGCUAUGUACAACAUUCUAUGGUAAUGUCACAUAACAACCAAUCAUCACGUGAACUUCCAGGUAAAGUCCUUAAAUUUGUUUUGUUGAAAUUUUGACUUCUUACAUAUAGUGAGUAGAUUUUUGCAUUUCUACUCCCCCCUAAUGAUCGUUGCACCACAAAGAUUUUCUUCCAUGAUAGCAAACACUCGAUUGUUUUAUUUUUGAUGAAUUCAUAUCUUGGUUUAAAAAAGCGCGCUUGAAGCGCGCUUGAGGCGAUGAAGCGAUGAAGCGAUCGGAAAAACGCUUUUUUGGCUCUGAAGCGCUGCAUUACAUGAAGCGAGCUGAAGCGAGCUUUAAGCGGUGAAGCGUUGAAGCUGUGAAGCGACGCUCCAGCCAAUCAGAUCACUAUUUGGGCCAUUUUUUAAGCGACAAAUUCCGGCGACGGAGUUGCUUUCAGCCGGAAACCAGGAAGAAGGGGGAAGAAGAAGAAGAGAGAUGCUGACGGCUGCGUAUAUGUCUUUUAGGUUUUUAGGGUUUUUAUAAGUUAAGGUUUUUAAACAUUUAACCCCUCUAUCUUUCAUUAGUUUACAUUCAGUCCCUAAAACUUCUAACUUUUUACUUAAAAAGUGUAAAGAUAGUUUGUCUAUUUAAACAUUUAACCCCCUUUAUCUUCAGUAGUUACAUUUGGUCCUUAAACUUUUUAAUUUAUGCAUAAAAGUACAAAAUUAACAUUAUAAAAUACAUAUAUAUAAUAUGGAUAGCUAUUUUUUAUACAUAUAUAUAAAAUUAACAUUAUAUAUAAUUAUAUAUAAUAUGGAGCGCUUCGUAUACGUGAGCUCUCGCUUCGCGCUUGAAGCUUCGCUUAAAGCUUUUGGAACCAAAAUGCUUCGGAGCGCUUCGCGCUUUUUUAAACCAAGAUUCAUAUGUACGCAUGCAUUGUUUUUCGCGCAUGUGGUUCGUUGAUCCGUGAAGACCAUUAGAGGGCUUCACUCCAAAUUGUCGUUUUAUCAAAGCUCAAAUAUCGUUCGCUAUACUUGAUCUUUGCAUUGUGAUCUAGAUGACCCGCAUUGUUGUGAAGUGUUGACUUUUUGAUAUCGAGUCAACGAACUAGUUGAAACUCUUUUCUUUUGUGUUACAUUACAUGGUUUGUUCAUUGCAACCAUUUCGAAAUUCUAUUGUCAACACAUGCAUUCAUCGUUCAAAUGUGACUAAACCAAGUUCAAUUGUUUGAACUUGCUCGUAAUAUUCGAUUCAAGAUUCCAUAUGAUGGAUUGAGGCCAUCAUAUUCAAAAUAAUCCCAACGAGCCCUUCAAUUGCGUUGAACCAUAACAGGCUUGUUUGGUUUUCGACUUCAUUGUAUCAUUUCUUUGAUCACGAUCACCUUGUGGUGGCGUAUUUCACAAGUUUGAAGCUUGCGCUAAUCUCGUUGCUCACAUCAUGCACGGAUUUCAUUAUUAAAUUAUUUAUUUGUUUAUUGAUAUUAAAUCCGCUUAUUUGAUUUCUUGUAUUAAAUCAGUCUCAUUGCAAUUGUGUGGUAAGAUAAUGGUACCUAAGUUCGUGUUAAAUAUUCCGGUGUACCUCUUAACGGUUCUUCCGUCAUCGAUCGAACAUUCUGUGAUAUUUAUUGCUUUCCAUCCUCGAUCGAAAACAUUACUUAUUUGUUUCAUUUUCAAUUGAAAAUCCUAUGGGAUUUGUUGGAGCAAAUAUUCAUAAUUACUUCGUUAAACCUUUCAUCUGAUUUCAACACGGUGAUACUUGUUCGAUCACCGCUAUCAUUGAAUUAUUUCAAUAACUACGACACCUUGUGGCGUCGGUAUAAACUUGUAGCUUGUGCUAAUCACGAUCAGCCGUCUCAUGCGAAAUUAUAUAUGCUUUUCGUUUGACACAUCAUUUAAGUAGUCUUGAUGCAACUAUGUAUUAAGACAAUGAUACACCAGGUUCAGUUGUAUCUCAUUUCGGUGUAUCCUUGCAACUUAACAAUGUCAAAACAUUGAUUUUAUCUUAUUCAUUUAUUGGUCCAGUAGUUGACAAAUCAUUUCAUGAUUCUAUCUAUUUGAACUUGUCGAUUCGAGUUUUCAAUCAUACAACAACCAACGCAAGUUUCCGUUGGUAGAAAAUUCGACUGUUCCAAAAUUGAUUUGCAUAUUACGAACGUUCAUUUGGAAUUCUAUUGGUCGAGAUUCCUCUUUUGUCGAAUCCCGUAAAUUUGAUCGCAUUGGUGAUAGUAUCAUUACGCUUCGUUCACUUGACAUCGAUUUCUGGAACAAACUCAGUUGAACCGUUGGGUUCUUAUUGAUUCAAAAUGUCUUUACACUCACGUAAUCCGAAUAAGUCUUGAUUCGGUUACGCAGUCACUCACUUUGUUAUUAUUCGGACUUACCUAGGAACGACAUAACUCUGAGGAGAUAACAUAGACUAAAUUUCGAGGACGAAAUUUCUGCAACAGGGGGAGAAUGUGACAACCGGUAAUUAACGGCUUCUAAUAACGUGAUUAACAAAUGUUUAAGGCAAUAAUAAAUAGUGUUUAAGGCACGAAUUAACUUAAUUAGGCUAUUGGAAUGCCUAGGAACACCUAUUCGACUUUACAGUACGCGAAUGAUAAUCCACGGAGAAUCUGCGUAACGAUAAACGAUAACGAACUGAUGCCGUACAAAAUACUGGCCACGCCGACAAAUAUGAAGUUUAUACGUAUUACUUAUAGUUAUGAAUAUGGUUAUAAAAAAAUGCAUUUAAACAUGAUUAUAUAAUAUAUGGAUUUAACAUGUAUCUACAAUAAUAAAGAUUUAGCUUUUUCUUUUUCAAAAUACCUAAUGUAUACGUGUGUGUAUACAAUUCUAUAUGAUUAAUUUAUAUGGUCCCUAUAUAUUUCAAUUGAGUAAAUAAUAUUUCAACCAAAAUACAAUAGUUUUAUCUAAACAAUUAUCUGUCAUAUAUUAGAUCACCAUUCCAUACUCUAGACUAUUUAUUAUAUAAAAUAUCAUCCCUUAUACCUCAUGAUUCCAUAUCUUUGGCCACAAAUCUUUGUCUGACAAAAAGUAAUG